UACGAAGGGGGCUAGCGUUGCUCGGAAUUACUGGGCGUAAAGCGCACGUAGGCGGCUUCUUAAGUCGGUGGUGAAAUCCUGGAGCUCAACUCCAGAACUGCCUUCGAUACUGGGAAGCUCGAGUCCGGGAGAGGAGAGUGGAAUUCCUGGUGUAGCGGUGAAAUGCGCAGAUAUCAGGAAGAACACCCGUGGCGAAGGCGGGUCUCUGGGCAGUAACUGACGCUGGAGGAGCGAAAGCGUGGGGAGCGAACAGG
rnacentral:rRNA from 1 species